rnacentral:rRNA from 1 species
UUAGUCAAUGCUCGCAAGAGUGAACUAGCUAACUGAAAUCAUACUUGUGUCAAGUGUGAUAACGUAAGGGAAGAUAAUGACAUUACCUUACUAUUAGUGUUGUCCAAAACUGGUGCCAGAAGACUCGGUAAGGCCAGAGACGCAAACGUUAAUCGUCUUAAUCAGGCGUAAAGGGUGUGUAGGCAGCUUUAAAAUUUUACUUUAUUAUUUAAAUUAUUUUUUAUAUAAUAUAUUUAAAAUUCUAAAUUUAUUUAAUGUAGACUAAUUAAGAAUAAUAAAUAAUUAAAUAUUUAAUUAUUAAGAAUUAAUUAAAGUAAAGAUAAAAUAAAUAAAAGCUAGAAUCAAAUAGAGGAUAUUUAAAUAAUACUUAGAGGAGGGGUGAUAUCCUUAGAUACUAAGUAGAAUAUUAAUGGUGAAAGCUUUUAUCUACUAAUGAUUGACGCUGAGAAACGAAGGUGAGGAUAGGAAAUAGGAUUAGAUACCCAGAUACCCCUCUCUGUCAACGAUGAAUGGUGGUUGCUAAUUAUAUAAAUUAAUUGGUGGCGAUGUUAACACGAUAACCAUUCCGCCAUGUGAGUACGACUGCAAAGUUGAAAACAAAAAAAUUAGUCGGUCUCGAAGCAAACGAAGUGAAGCAUGUUAUUUAAU